AUCCGUCGUCAAGAGGGAAACAACCCAGACUACCAGCUAAGGUCCCUAAAUCUUACUUAAGUGGAAAACGAUGUGAAGUUACUUAAACAACCAGGAGGUUGGCUUAGAAGCAGCCAUCCUUUAAAGAAAGCGUAAUAGCUCACUGGUCUAGUGAUUUUGCGCGGAAAAUAUAACGGGGCUAAAGUAAGUACCGAAGCUGUAGACUUGCACACAACUUAGAUUAUUUAAGUUUAGAAUAUGAGAAACUAAGUUAUAUGUUUAGUUAUAUUUUUACUGAUUUUUAUAGAGUAAAGAUAGAAAUAAAACUUAGUAAAAUCAGUAAAAAUAUUCUUAGACUAAAGUUAAGUAGUUUAAGUUGUGUGCAAGUGGUAGGAGAGCGUUCUAUUUGCGUCGAAGGUAUACCGGUAAGGAGUGCUGGAGCGAAUAGAAGUGAGCAUGCAGGCAUGAGUAGCGAUAAUUAAUGUGAGAAUCAUUAACGCCGUAAACCCAAGGUUUCCUACGCGAUGCUCGUCAUCGUAGGGUUAGUCGGGUCCUAAGUCGAGUCCGAAAGGGGUAGACGAUGGCAAAUUGGUUAAUAUUCCAAUACCAACAUUAGUGUGCGAUGGAAGGACGCUUAGGGCUAAGGGGGCUAGCGGAUGGAAGUGCUAGUCUAAGGUCGUAGGAGGUUAUACAGGCAAAUCCGUAUAACAAUACUCCGAGAACUGAAAGGCUUUUUGAAGUCUUCGGAUGGAUAGAAGAACCCCUGAUGCCGUCGAGCCAAGAAAAGUUUCUAAGUUUAGCUAAUGUUGCCCGUACCGUAAACCGACACAGGUGGGUGGGAUGAGUAUUCUAAGGCGCGUGGAAGAACUCUCUUUAAGGAACUCUGCAAAAUAGCACCGUAUCUUCGGUAUAAGGUGUGGUUAGCUUUGUAUUAGGAUUUACUCCGAAAGCAAGGAAACUUACAACAAAGAGUCCCUCCCGACUGUUUACCAAAAACACAGCACUCUGCUAACUCGUAAGAGGAUGUAUAGGGUGUGACGCCUGCCCGGUGCUCGAAGGUUAAUUGAUGGGGUUAGCAUUAGCGAAGCUCUUGAUCGAAGCCCGAGUAAACGGCGGCCGUAACUAUAACGGUCCUAAGGUAGCGAAAUUCCUUGUCGGUUAAAUACCGACCUGCAUGAAUGGCGUAACGAGAUGGGAGCUGUCUCAAAGAGGGAUCCAGUGAAAUUGUAGUGGAGGUGAAAAUUCCUCCUACCCGCGGCAAGACGGAAAGACCCCGUGGACCUUUACUACAGCUUGACACUGCUACUUGGAUAAGAAUGUGCAGGAUAGGUGGGAGGCUUUGAGUAUAUGACGCCAGUUGUAUAUGAGCCAUUGUUGAGAUACCACUCUUUCUUAUUUGGGUAGCUAACCAGCUUGAGUUAUCCUCAAGUGGGACAAUGUCUGGUGGGUAGUUUGACUGGGGCGGUCGCCUCCCAAAUAAUAACGGAGGCUUACAAAGGUUGGCUCAGAACGGUUGGAAAUCGUUCGUAGAGUAUAAAGGUAUAAGCCAGCUUAACUGCAAGACAUACAAGUCAAGCAGAGACGAAAGUCGGUCUUAGUGAUCCGGUGGUUCUGUGUGGAAGGGCCAUCGCUCAAAGGAUAAAAGGUACCCCGGGGAUAACAGGCUGAUCUCCCCCAAGAGCUCACAUCGACGGGGAGGUUUGGCACCUCGAUGUCGGCUCAUCGCAUCCUGGGGCUGGAGCAGGUCCCAAGGGUAUGGCUGUUCGCCAUUUAAAGCGGUACGCGAGCUGGGUUCAGAACGUCGUGAGACAGUUCGGUCCCUAUCUGCCGUGGGCGUAAGAAGAUUGAAGAGAUUUGACCCUAGUACGAGAGGACCGGGUUGAACAAACCACUGGUGUAGCUGUUGUUCUGCCAAGAGCAUCGCAGCGUAGCUAAGUUUGGAAAGGAUAAACGCUGAAAGCAUCUAAGCGUGAAGCCAACUCUAAGAUGAAUCUUCUCUAAGCUCUCUAGAAGACUACUAGUUUGAUAGGCUGGGUGUGUAAUGGAUGAAAGUCCUUUAGCUGACCAGUACUAAUAGAGCGUUUGGCUUAUCUUUAAUAAAGCAU
rnacentral:rRNA from 1 species